UGGAGGACUGAGAAGGUUGAACAGCUUGUUCGGUGCUGUUAUAACUGGUUAUAGCCUCCAAGAGCAACCAACAAACACAGUGAAGUCCAUCUGUUGUCAGAAGGGAUGAUGUGUGCGUUUGUGGAACAUUUG